rnacentral:rRNA from 1 species
GGAAAGGUGAAAAGAACCCCGAACAGGGGAGUGAAAUAGAACCUGAAACCAUACGCUUACAACCGGUCGGAGCAGCUUCGUGCUGUGACGGCGUGCCUAUUGAAUAAUGAGCCUACGAGUUACUAAUCACUGGCGAGGUUAAGUGCUAGGAAGCACGGAGCCGAAGCGAAAGCGAGUCUGAACAGGGCGUUUAGUCAGUGGUUGUAGACGCGAAACCUUGCGAUCUACCCUUGAGCAGGUUGAAGGUUGGGUAAAACCAACUGGAGGACCGAACGAAUAAGCGUUGAAAAGCUUCUCGAUGACUUGAGGGUAGGGGUGAAAGGCUAAUCAAGCUGGGAAAUAGCUCGUACUCCCCGAAAUGCCUUUUGGGGCAGCGUUGUAAUAAAGAGUCUACUGGAGGUAGAGCUACUGAUUGGAUGCGGGGGCUUCACCGCCUACCAAAUCCUGACAAACUCCGAAUGCCAGUAGUAUGAUUUACAGCAGUGAGUGACUGGGUGCUAAUGUCCAGUCGCAAAAGAGGAACAACUCAGACCAGCAACUAAGGUCCCGAAGAAUAUGCUAAGUUGAUCUAACGAUGUUUUGUUGCAGAGACAGCUAGGAUGUUAGCUUGGAAGCAGCUAUUCAUUCAAAGAGUGCGUAACAGCUCACUAGUCGAGCGACAGAGCGUGGAUAAUAAACGGGCAUCAAGCAUAUCACCGAAGUUCUGGGCGCGAGAGCGCGGUAGGGGAGCAUUCCAUUCAGCGUCGAAGCAGUUUCGUGAGGAAUUGUGGAGCGUAUGGAAAAGCAAAUGUAGGCAUGAGUAACGAUAAUGCGGGAGAGUAACCCGCACACCGCAAGACCAAGGUUUCCUGAUCAACGCUAAUCGGAUCAGGGUUAGUCGGGUCCUAAGGGUAAGCCGAACGGUGAUCUCGAUGGACAAUCGGUUAAUAUUCCGAUACUAACAUAUACCUCGAUGGAGAGACGAAGGAACGUAAGUGCCGCCACCUGACGGAAUAGGUGGUUAAAGGGCGUAGGUAUAGGGGCAGAUUAAGAGUUAGUCCUUGCUGAAACCUGACAGUACAGAGAGCCUACGGGCAAUUUGAUAGAGCACCCAAGUCGACUUCCGAGAAAAUCUUCUAAGUUAUAGUAUAUGUUACCCGUACCGUAAACCGACACAGGUGGUCGAGGAGAGUAUCCUAAGGUGCUCGAGUGAAUCACGGUUAAGGAACUAGGCAAAUUAACCCCGUAACUUCGGGAAAAGGGGUCCCUAUGAAAGUAGGGCGCAGCGAAGAGGUCCAGGCGACUGUUUAUCAAAAACACAGGGCUCUGCAAAUUCGAAAGAAGAAGUAUAGGGCCUGACACCUGCCCGGUGCUGGAAGGUUAAGAGGGGAUGUCAUCGCAAGAGAAGCAUUGAAUCGAAGCCCCAGUAAACGGCGGCCGUAACUAUAACGGUCCUAAGGUAGCGAAAUUCCUUGUCGGGUAAGUUCCGACCUGCACGAA